CUAAUACUCCCCUGUUCCAAAAUUCUUGUCUUAGAUUUGUCUAAAUAUGAAUGUAUCUAGUUACAUUUUAGUAUUUAGAUACAUUCAUUUUUAGACAAACUUAAAACAAGAAUUUUGGGACGGAGGGAGUACUAA
rnacentral:pre_miRNA from 1 species